rnacentral:rRNA from 1 species
GAUGAACGCUGGCGGCGUGCCUAAUACAUGCAAGUCGAGCGAACGGACGAGAAGCUUGCUUCUCUGAUGUUAGCGGCGGACGGGUGAGUAACACGUGGAUAACCUACCUAUAAGACUGGGAUAACUUCGGGAAACCGGAGCUAAUACCGGAUAAUAUUCUGAACCGCAUGGUUCAAAAGUGAAAGACGGUCUUGCUGUCACUUAUAGAUGGAUCCGCACUGCAUUAGCUAGUUGGUAAGGUAACGGCUUACCAAGGCAACGAUGCAUAGCCGACCUGAGAGGGGGAUCGCCCACAAGGGAACUAGAACUCGGUCCAGCCUCCUACGGAAGGCAGCAGUAGGAAAUCUUCCACAAGGGGCGAAGGCCUGACGGAGCAACGCCGCGUGGGUGAUGAAGGUCUUCGGAUCGUAAGACUCUGUUAUUAGGGAAGAGCAUAUGUGUAAGUACUGUGCACAUCUUGACGGUACCUAAUCAGAAAGCCACGGCUAACUACGUG